UACUUUCAUUCCUCUUCGUAU
ensembl:piRNA 21ur-7863 ncRNA